GAGGUAGGGCUACGUGGCAAGCCAAGUCUAUAUUUAAAAUAGGGUUGCUUGCUGCUGUCCGUGGUGAUACGAAGAAGCGAAAGAAAGAAAACAAAAGAAGAGGCUAGAUGAGAGAAGGGGGAAAGGGAGAAAGAGGUUGAGGAAGUUUGGGGAUUGGGUGGGUUUGGUAAGAAAACUUGAUCAUAUAUCUGAAUGAACUAGUCUCCUACCGAUUCCACCCAUUCCGAUGAUUUCCUCGGUCUCCUCCUUUUCCCCUUUGCUGUCCUGUCCAACCCUUUUCCGGACUAUUAUCAGAUGCUGCUGGUAAGUUGUUGUUAAUUAGCCCGCCGUUAGUUAUUACGAUAUUAGGAGUGAAAUAUACAACACUGGCCAGUGGCCAGCCCAAGUUUAUUGGUUUUAAUUACCCCUUGAUUAUGUAAUUUAAUUAUGUAAGUUCUAUUUCCCAUUUAUAUAUAUAUAUAUAAAUAAAAGAAAAUAGCCUUCUUUCA